GCCCUUUUAGCUCAGUGGUAGAGCGUCGCACUCGUACUUCUGCACGCCAUGCGAAGGUCCACGGUUCAAUCCCGUGAGGGGGCA
rfam:Colletotrichum sublineola strain TX430BB Scaffolds1338.1, whole genome shotgun sequence.